rnacentral:rRNA from 1 species
AGUGAACGCUGGCGGUAGGCCUAACACAUGCAAGUCGAACGGCAGCACAGUAAGAGCUUGCUCUUACGGGUGGCGAGUGGCGGACGGGUGAGGAAUACAUCGGAAUCUACUUUUUCGUGGGGGAUAACGUAGGGAAACUUACGCUAAUACCGCAUACGACCUACGGGUGAAAGCAGGGGAUCUUCGGACCUUGCGCGAUUGAAUGAGCCGAUGCCGGAUUAGCUAGUUGGCGGGGUAAAGGCCCACCAAGGCGACGAUCCGUAGCUGAUCUGAGAGGGUGAUCGGCCACACUGGAACUGAGACACGGUCCAGACUCCUACGGGAGGCAGCAGUGGGGAAUCUUCCACAAUGGGCGAAAGCCUGACCGAGCAACGCCGCGUGGGUGAAGAAGGUCUUCGGAUCGUAAAACUCUGUUAUUGGGAAAGAAAAGAUGUGGAAGUAACCCUGCCUUUCUGGACGGUACCAAAUCAGAAAGCCCCGGCUAACUACGUG